AGAGUUUGAUCCUGGCUCAGGAUGAACGCUAGCUACAGGCUUAACACAUGCAAGUCGAGGGGAAACGACAUCGAAAGCUUGCUUUUGAUGGGCGUCGACCGGCGCACGGGUGAGUAACGCGUAUCCAACCUGCCCACCACUUGGGAAUAACCUUGCGAAAGUAAGACUAAUACCCAAUGACGUCUCUAGAAGACAUCUGAAGGAGAUUAAAGAUUUAUCGGUGAUGGAUGGGGAUGCGUCUGAUUAGCUUGUUGGCGGGGUAACGGCCCACCAAGGCGACGAUCAGUAGGGGUUCUGAGAGGAAGGUCCCCCACAUUGGAACUGAGACACGGUCCAAACUCCUACGGGAGGCAGCAGUGAGGAAUAUUGGUCAAUGGACGAGAGUCUGAACCAGCCAAGUAGCGUGCAGGAUGACGGCCCUAUGGGUUGUAAACUGCUUUUAUAAGGGAAUAAAGUGAGCCUCGUGAGGCUUUUUGCAUGUACCUUAUGAAUAAGGACCGGCUAAUUCCGUGCCAGCAGCCGCGGUAAUACGGAAGGUCCGGGCGUUAUCCGGAUUUAUUGGGUUUAAAGGGAGCGUAGGCCGGAGAUUAAGCGUGUUGUGAAAUGUAGACGCUCAACGUCUGCACUGCAGCGCGAACUGGUUUCCUUGAGUACGCACAAAGUGGGCGGAAUUCGUGGUGUAGCGGUGAAAUGCUUAGAUAUCACGAAGAACUCCGAUUGCGAAGGCAGCUCACUGGAGCGCAACUGACGCUGAAGCUCGAAAGUGCGGGUAUCGAACAGGAUUAGAUACCCUGGUAGUCCGCACGGUAAACGAUGGAUGCCCGCUGUUGGUCUGAAUAGGUCAGCGGCCAAGCGAAAGCAUUAAGCAUCCCACCUGGGGAGUACGCCGGCAACGGUGAAA
rnacentral:rRNA from 1 species